AUGAAGAGGCUGCUAUGCUCUCUGCUGGGGCUGCUGUGCUCCCAGGUUUGCUGGGUGAAAGGGCAACAAGUGGAGCAGAGUCCUGAGUCCUUGGUUCUGCAGGAGGGAGAGAGUGCAGACAUGCUGUGCAAAUUUUCCACCUCUGCAACCCAAGCGCAGUGGUUUCUCCAAAGUCCUGGGGGACACCUCAUCAGCCUGUUUUUCAAUCCUUCUGGGACAAAGCUGAGUGGAAGACUGACAUCCACGACAGUCGCUAAGGCAUAUCACAGCUCUUUGUACAUUUCCUCCUCCCAGACCACAGACUUGGGCACUUAUUUCUGUGUUGUUGCUAACACUGGUGCUAACACUGGAAAGCUGACAUUUGGACAAGGGACCAUCCUUAAGGUCCAUCCAAACAUCCAGGACCCAAAGCCAGCUGUGUACCAGCUGAGAGACCAUCAGUCCAAGAACAGUAGCAUCUGCCUGUUCACCGACUUCGGUUCUCAAAUCAAUGUGUCAAAGGAUGUGCCACCUGGUGUGUUUGUCUCUGACAAAACUGUGCUGGACAUGAGAUCUAUGGAUUCCAAGAGCAAUGCAGUCAUUGCCUGGAGCAACCAAACUAAUUUCAACUGUAAAGACACCCUCAAAGAGAAGGCCUCCUACCCCAGCUCAGAUGUUCCCUGCAAUGCCAAGUUGAUAGAGAAAAGCUUUGAAACAGAUAUGAACCUAAACUUUCAAAACCUAUCAGUGAUGGGACUCCGAAUCCUCCUCCUGAAAGUGGCGGGAUUUAACCUGCUCAUGACGCUGCGGCUGUGGUCCAGCUAAGGUCAAGACUGAAAGAGGCUGAACUCCGAGCUCCUUCCUCUUCAUCACCCCUCCCCUCUCUCUUCAAGCAAAAAGGAGCCCUCCCAUCUCAUAAAGAAGGCUCUCAGUCACAAGCCUGCCAACUGGAUCUCCUGAAUUUGUGAUGGAGAUUGCUGAAGAGCUGCUAAGUGCUACUGCACCCAAUCCACUCCCUUACUGCUGCUGGCCAUUCACAGGAAGGAGGGGCUGCUACUUCUCCUGGAUAUGAAGACCCCCCCAACCCUGACCUCACCACCACCUCCCAACCCACACCCAUUCCCUGUGGCAGAUCCCCAGCAGAAUCUCUUGGACCGCAGCUCCUGGAGAAUAUUGUAAAGACCAUGUUUUUGUUUUUGUUUUGUUUUUUAAAGCAUCACACAUUACUCUUUCCUCAAGAUGUAGAAAAGAUUGUCUCAUUGUCCAGCCCCUCCCUGCUACUGUGUGAAUCUGAGCCCUAUUGUAUAUAUGGUUCUGCUGUCCAUGGCUUCAUUAAAGAUGACUCAGAAAAGCAGAAA